rnacentral:misc_RNA from 1 species
AGCAGCCGCGGUAAUUCCAGCUCCAAUAGCGUAUAUUAAAGUUGUUGCAGUUAAAAAGCUCGUAGUUGAAUUUCGGGAUUGGCGUAUCGGUCGUGCCUCACGGGGUAUGAACUGGUGCAGUCAAUUUCUCACCUUCUGGAGAACCGCGAUGUCCUUAAUUGGAUGCCGUGGGGAACCAGGACCUUUACUUUGAAAAAAUUAGAGUGUUUAAAGCAGGCAUUUUUGCUUGAAUACAUUAGCAUGGAAUAAUAAAAUAGGACGGCAUGGUUCUAUUUUGUUGGUUUCUAGGACCACCGUAAUGAUUAAUAGGGAUAGUUGGGGGCAUUAGUAUCCAAUUGUCAGAGGUGAAAUUCUUGGAUUUAUUGAAGACUAACUACUGCGAAAGCAUUUGCCAAGGAUGUUUUCAUUAAUCAAGAACGAAAGUUAGGGGAUCGAAGACGAUCAGAUACCGUCGUAGUCUUAACCAUAAACUAUGCCGACUAGGAAUCAGACGAUGUUAAUUUUUUAAUGACUCGUUUGG